CGACCCGGGCAGCUUGGACAACGCAGUCGGCCAAAGCAGUCCCGGCCGCCGCAGGUUUUUUAGCCCCCGUCCCCUAACUAAGGAUUAUUUGUUGUAACUGGGAAUGGUGUGCAAAGUAUUGAUUUAAAUCCUCCUUCGACUGAGUUGCUUACGCGAUUCCGUGUAAUUGAGUGACCGGAGUUUCAAACUCUUAACAAGAAAUCAUUAUGUCGCAGAAGAUUGCAUAAAGUCCGUGAGAAAACC